UUGAAACAUCGGUUCCGAUAUGAUCACUAAAGUUAAGCAACAUUGAGCAUGGUCAAUACCUAGAUGGGUGACUACUUAGGAAUACCAGGUGCCGUAAG